GAGGUGGUAUUAAAGAUGCCAUUGCAGGGCAGCGGAAACUCAAGGAGGAUGACAAGAAGGAAUUAACGGAUCUCCUUGAUUGUCAUUUCUGAUCCGGAGAAGCAGCCAAUUAAGUCAGUGUCCCGGAAGACAAACAAGAGACGCUUCCUGAGCAGAUAAACUUUGAGGAUUUCACGGUGACGCGUAAUGCUGUACGAAAAUCUCAAUCCGUCAGUAAGGUGAAAAAGGAAGGUCAAGAGCAGAAGCCGGAGCAACAGAAGCAGCAAGUUGAGGAAGGUGGUGAACCCAAUAAGGUGGAGAAAGCUGCUCAGGAGACAGUUGAAACGCCUUCUAUGCCGGAGACGCAGGAAGAGAAGAAGCCAGAAUCGACCACAGAUGCCAGUUGUGAAGAAAGCAACAACGGUGCACCGUGUGCGUGAAUAGAUGCAUGAAUUUUCACGUGGGUACCACCACGUGAAAGGGUGACGCGUAAUGCUGUACGAAAAUCUCAAUCCGUCAGUAAGGUGAAAAAGGAAGGUCAAGAGCAGAAGCCGGAGCAACAGAAGCAGCAAGUUGAGGAAGGUGGUGAACCCAAUAAGGUGGAGAAAGCUGCUCAGGAGACAGUUGAAACGCCUUCUAUGCCGGAGACGCAGGAAGAGAAGAAGCCAGAAUCGACCACAGAUGCCAAUUGUGAAGGAAGCAACAACGGUGAAGGUGCAAAUAGGUGUCUUUCACUGUGUUAUCACGAGAAUGGCAACGACAAUUGAAGAGAACCUCCAGGAAGACAAUUUUCUAUACCAUCGUGUGAGGGAUGUCAAC